GACGAACGCUGGCGGCGUGCUUAACACAUGCAAGUCGUACGGUAAGGCCCUUUCGGGGGUACACGAGUGGCGAACGGGUGAGUAACACGUGAGUAACCUGCCCACAACUUUGGGAUAACGCUAGGAAACUGGUGCUAAUACUGGAUAUGUGCUCCUGCUGCAUGGUGGGGGUUGGAAAGCUCCGGCGGUUGUGGAUGGACUCGCGGCCUAUCAGCUUGUUGGUGGGGUAGUGGCCUACCAAGGCGGCGACGGGUAGCCGGCCUGAGAGGGUGACCGGCCACAUUGGGACUGAGAUACGGCCCAGACUCCUACGGGAGGCAGCAGUGGGGAAUAUUGCACAAUGGGCGCAAGCCUGAUGCAGCAACGCCGCGUGCGGGAUGACGGCCUUCGGGUUGUAAACCGCUAUCAGCAGGGACGAAGCUUUUUGUGACGGUACCUGCAGAAGAAGCACCGGCUAACUACGUG
rnacentral:rRNA from 1 species